GUAAAAGGGAAAGAAGAAAAAUAAGGGGGGGAAAAACGAUCAAUAGGGAUCGUGUAUCACGGUGUCAUGAUGUAAAGUGUAAAUGGGGAACCAGAUAAGGUUUACCCGUGGGAAGAAAAGACUACGGAAAAGACCGCGGUAACCUCGGCCAAUAAUGUUACAUGCGGUGAAACAAAUUACA